rnacentral:rRNA from 1 species
GUUAAGUGACUAAGCGUACACGGUGGAUGCCUGGGCAGUCAGAGGCGAUGAAGGACGUACUAACUUGCGAUAAGCGCAGAUAAGGCAGUAAGAGCCGUUUGAGUCUGCGAUUUCCGAAUGGGGAAACCCAACUGCAUAAGCAGUUACUGUUAACUGAAUACAUAGGUUAACAGAGCAAACCGGGGGAACUGAAACAUCUAAGUACCCCGAGGAGAAGAAAUCAACCGAGAUUCCGGUAGUAGCGGCGAGCGAACCUGGAUUAGCCCUUAAGCACUCGGUGAAGUAGGUGAACAAGCUGGAAAGCUUGGCGAUACAGGGUGAUAGCCCCGUAACCGACGCUUCAUCGAGCGUGAAAUCGAGUAGGGCGGGACACGUGAUAUCCUGUCUGAAUAUGGGGGGACCAUCCUCCAAGGCUAAAUACUCCUGACUGACCGAUAGUGAACCAGUACCGUGAGGGAAAGGCGAAAAGAACCCCUGUGAGGGGAGUGAAAUAGAACCUGAAACCGUGUACGUACAAGCAGUAGGAGCACCUUCGUGGUGUGACUGCGUACCUUUUGUAUAAUGGGUCAGCGACUUAUAUUCAGUGGCAAGGUUAACCGUAUAGGGGAGCCGUAGCGAAAGCGAGUCUUAACUGGGCGCUCAGUCUCUGGAUAUAGACCCGAAACCGGGUGAUCUAGCCAUGGGCAGGUUGAAGGUUGAGUAACAUCAACUGGAGGACCGAACCGACUAAUGUUGAAAAAUUAGCGGAUGACUUGUGGCUAGGGGUGAAAGGCCAAUCAAACUCGGAGAUAGCUGGUUCUCCCCGAAAGCUAUUUAGGUAGCGCCUCGGACGAAUACUACUGGGGGUAGAGCACUGUUAAGGCUAGGGGGUCAUCCCGACUUACCAACCCUUUGCAAACUCCGAAUACCAGUAAGUACUAUCCGGGAGACACACGGCGGGUGCUAACGUCCGUCGUGGAGAGGGAAACAACCCAGACCGCCAGCUAAGGUCCCAAAGUAUUGCUAAGUGGGAAACGAUGUGGGAAGGCUCAGACAGCUAGGAUGUUGGCUUAGAAGCAGCCAUCAUUUAAAGAAAGCGUAAUAGCUCACUAGUCGAGUCGGCCUGCGCGGAAGAUGUAACGGGGCUAAGCA